rnacentral:lncRNA from 1 species
ACUCAUCCAAAGUAUUCUAAAUGUUAGCUACUUUAUCCUCUGUUCAUUUAUUGUUAUUAUGCUUUAGAGAUAGAGAAAAAUGAGUUUUUCAGAAUGAGAGAGAAUGGAGAGGAUUUUUUAUUUAUACAUGUCUUUGAGCUAGAAUUUGAUGGAUAGCUUGUUUGUUAUAUAUGAUUCGUAUUAGAUAAAUAUCUUGAUCAAUAUUAGGUAUGGGAAAAAUAGAGUAAAUGUGUUUUUAAUAUUUAGUCAUUGCAAUAAAAU